rnacentral:rRNA from 1 species
GGACUACCAGGGUUUCUAAUCCUGUUUGCUCCCCACGCUUUCGUAGUUUAGUGUCAGUUACUGUCCAGUUCGCCGCCUUCGCCUCUGAUAUUCCUCCUGAUCUCUACGCAUUUCACCGCUACACCAGGAAUUCUGCGAACCUCUCCAGUACUCUAGUAACAUAGUUUCCAAGGCACGUCCUGAGUUGAGCUCAGGGAUUUCACCCUAGACUUAUGUCACCACCUACCUACCCUUUACGCCCAAUAAUUCCGAGCAACGCUUGCACCCUUCGUAUUACCGCGGCUGCUGGCAC